UGUUAAAAAUUUCAUCUAUUUUUACUUUUAAAAAUUGGCAUGGCUGACAAAAUAACUAGACUGUUUUAUGUGGCGUGUCAUGUGUACCUCAUUCUAGCAUAUAGGGACCAGUUUUUAACAAUAGAAAUGGAUGUAAUUUUUAAUA
rfam:Gossypium raimondii Chr05_contig_1361, whole genome shotgun sequence.